UGAGGAAUAUUGGUCAAUGGGCGAGAGCCUGAACCAGCCAAGUCGCGUGAAGGAAGAAGGAUCUAUGGUUCGUAAACUUCUUUUGCAGGGGAAUAAAGUGCAGGACGUGUCCUGUUUUGUAUGUACCCUGAGAAUAAGGAUCGGCUAACUCCGUGCCAGCAGCCGCGGUAAUACGGAGGAUCCGAGCGUUAUCCGGAUUUAUUGGGUUUAAAGGGUGCGUAGGUGGUUUAAUAAGUCAGCGGUGAAAGUUUGCAGCUUAACUGUAAAAAUGCCGUUGAAACUGUUAGACUUGAGUGUAAAUGAGGUAGGCGGAAUGCGUGGUGUAGCGGUGAAAUGCUUAGAUAUCACGCAGAACUCCGAUUGCGAAGGCAGCUUACCGGAGCGCAACUGACGCUGAAGCUCGAAAGUGCGGGUAUCGAACA
rnacentral:rRNA from 1 species